CCUACGGGAGGCAGCAGUGGGGAAUUUUGCGCAAUGGGCGAAAGCCUGACGCAGCGACGCCGCGUGGGGGAUGAAGGUCUUCGUGAUCGUAAACCCCUGUCAGGAAGGAUUAAAUGUAUUGGUGUUAAUACCAUUUGUACUUGACUUAACU
rnacentral:rRNA from 1 species